rnacentral:rRNA from 1 species
CCCUUAGAUGUUCUGGGCCGCACGCGUGCUACACUGAUGCAUUCAACGAGUCUAAAACCUGGUCUGAUAGGGCUGGGUAAUCUUUUGAAAGUGCAUCGUGAUUGGGAUAGAUGAUUGCAAUUCUUCAUCUUCAACGAGGAAUGCCUAGUAAACGCAAGUCAUCAGCUUGCAUUGAUUACGUCCCUGCCCUUUGUACACAUCGCCCGUCGCUCCUACCGAUUGAAUGAUCCGAUGAAUACCAUGGAUUGAGAGUACGAAUAGGUUCGCUUAUUUCUGCUGCUCGAGAAGUGGAGUAAAUCUUAUCAUUUAGAGGAAGGAGAAGUCGUAACA